GCCCAGGUCCUAUGCAAAAGACAGUUUCCAAACCCCGCCAGAUCCGGAAGGAAGCAACGGUAGGAAAUUUGGCUUUGUGCCGUAGUGUACCUGGGCUUC
rnacentral:SRP_RNA from 1 species